rnacentral:lncRNA from 1 species
CAUGAAAUAAAAAAAAGUUACAUAAAAAGUUAAAAAUAUCCCUAGAUGUUCUAGCACAAUAUACUAUCCACAUAAACACCAACAGAUUUAACUAUACCCAGAACUCUACCUAUCCAAACUUUUACCCCGUAUCUGUCUACCACAAGGAAAACCAGUUUCACAGCAGGUGGAUGUAAUGCAGUUGACAUGAUUUCCUGCAAAAGGAAUAAAGAAUCGGGUGAGAGGGUAAACUACAGGAAUGCUAUCUUUUGUGACUUAUUGUAGGUUAUAUCUAAAACUUGCAUUUGAUUACUAGCAUGAGAUGCAUAGCAGAAAUUAUGAUUCCAAAAUUCAAGAUAGAAACAACUAACAAGCCUUAGCUAAUUAAGUGGGUCAGAUCAGAAACAUAUGAAACUAGUACACGCAAACUGACACAAAUCAUCUUACCCAAAAAUAAAUUCACAUCACAACAAGUAGAUAUUGCCAAUAAAAUUAAAAAUAAAAACAUCAGACAGCAACAUGUUAUGCAAUUCACCAAUCUUUGACAAUUCUUCAUAAAUCAAUGAUAGUGGAUAUAUGAUAAAAAUGUAUGCAAUUCUACGUGAACCUAAUCAUGUCAAAAAAACACUUCCAUUCACAGCACAAGAAGAGUGUAGCACUGCAUAAAACAGAGUUAAAAAGGAACAAAAACCUUAAAAUUACUAUUAGCAAACAUCCAAACACAAUGGCUGCAUAUACUUCAACACAACUACAAAUAAUUCAAAGAUAAAAGGUGUCAUAAAACCAAAAUGCUUGGGGACAUGGCCUGGCAAAAGGAUGCCACACCAGAAAUGUGAGGUUACAGUUUUGACAAAACUACCAACAAAUUCGGACUUAGGGACUUUUCUCAGUCAUUGUGGUUUGUUGACAACUGAACAUGGAGCUGCUACUUGCC